CCUACGGGAGGCAGCAGUAGGGAAUUUUCGGCAAUGGAGGGAACUCUGACCGAGCAACGCCGCGUGCACGAAGAAGUUAUUCUUAGUGUAAAGUUCUUUUUACAGGGAAGAAAGCGAAAUUUGACGGUACCUGCAGAAUAAGCCCCGGCUAACUGCGUGCCAGAAGCCGCGGUAAAACGUAGGGGGCGAGCGUUAUCCGGAAUUAUUGGGCGUAAGGGGUGGGUAGAUGGCAUAGUAAGUCUUUUGUAAAAAUGCUGGGCUAAACCCAGUAGGGCAAAAGAUACUGAAAAGCUAGAGUAUGACAGAGGCAAGUGGAACUACAGGUGUAGCGGUAAAAUGCGUAAAUAUAUGUAAGAACACCAGUGGCGAAGGCGGCUUGCUGGGUCGAUACUGACAUUGAGGCACGAAAGCGUGGGGAGCAAACAGGAUUAGAUACCCUUGUAGUC
rnacentral:rRNA from 1 species